rnacentral:rRNA from 1 species
GACGAACGCUGGCGGCGUGCUUAACACAUGCAAGUCGAACGGAAAGGCCCUGCUUUUGUGGGGUGCUCGAGUGGCGAACGGGUGAGUAACACGUGAGUAACCUGCCCUCUACUUUGGGAUAACUUCAGGAAACUGGGGCUAAUACCGGAUAUUAGCUCCUGCUCGCUGGUGGGGGUUGGGAAGUUUCGGCGGUUGGGGAUGGACUCGCGGCUUGUCAGCUUGUUGGUGGGGUAGUGGCUGACCAAGGCUUUGACGGGUAGCCGGCCUGAGAGGGUGACCGGCCACAUUGGGACUGAGAUACGGCCCAGACUCCUACGGGAGGCAGCAGUGGGGAAUAUUGCACAAUGGGCGGAAGCCUGAUGCAGCAACGCCGCGUGCGGGAUGACGGCCUUCGGGUUGUAAACCGCUUUCGCCUGUGACGAAGCGGGAGUGACGGUAAUGGGUAAAGAAGCACCGGCUAACUACGUG